UCGCCAGACUCCUACGGGAGGCAGCAGUGAGGAAUAUUGGUCAAUGGUCGGGAGACUGAACCAGCCAAGCCGCGUGAGGGAUGAAGGUACAGAGUCUCGUAAACCUCUUUUGUCAGGGAACAAAGGCGGGGACGUGUCCCCGGAUGAGUGUACCUGAAGAAAAAGCAUCGGCUAACUCCGUGCCAGCAGCCGCGGUAAUACGGAGGAUGCGAGCGUUAUCCGGAUUUAUUGGGUUUAAAGGGUGCGUAGGCGGACAGUCAAGUCAGCGGUAAAAAUGCGGUGCUCAACGCCGUACAGCCGUUGAAACUGGCAGUCUUGAGUGGGCGAGAAGUAUGCGGAAUGCGUGGUGUAGCGGUGAAAUGCAUAGAUAUCGCGCAGAACUCCGAUUGCGAAGGCAGCAUGCCGGCUCCACACUGACGCUGAGGCACGAAAGCGUGGGUAUCGAACAGGAUUAGAUACCCCAGUAU
rnacentral:rRNA from 1 species